GACGAACGCUGGCGGCGUGCUUAACACAUGCAAGUCGAACGAUGAAGCCCUAGCUUGCUUUGGUGGAUUAGUGGCGAACGGGUGAGUAACACGUGAGCAACGUGCCCAGGACUCUGGAAUAACCGCGGGAAACCGUGGCUAAUACCGGAUAGGUGCCGAGGCCGCAUGGUCUUCGGUUGGAAAGUUUUUGCGGUUCUGGAUCGGCUCACGGCCUAUCAGCUUGUUGGUGGGGUAAUGGCCUACCAAGGCGACGACGGGUAGCCGGCCUGAGAGGGUGACCGGCCACACUGGGACUGAGACACGGCCCAGACUCCUACGGGAGGCAGCAGUGGGGAAUAUUGCACAAUGGGCGCAAGCCUGAUGCAGCAACGCCGCGUGGGGGAUGACGGCCUUCGGGUUGUAAACCUCUUUUAGUAGGGAAGAAGCGCAAGUGACGGUACCUGCAGAAAAAGCACCGGCUAACUACGUG
rnacentral:rRNA from 1 species